AGAGGUGGCAAGCGUUGUUCGGAAUUACUGGGCGUAAAGGGCGCGUAGGCGGUCUCAUAAGUCCCGUGUGAAAGCCCCCGGCUCAACCGGGGAACGGCACGGGAAACUGCGAGGCUUGAGUUCGGGAGAGGGAAGCGGAAUUCCGGGUGUAGCGGUGAAAUGCGUAGAUAUCCGGAGGAACACCAGUGGCGAAGGCGGCUUCCUGGACCGAUACUGACGCUGAGGCGCGAAAGCUAGGGGAGCAAACGGGAUUAGAUACCCCGGUAGUCCUAGCUGUAAACGAUGAGUGCUGGGUGUAGGGGGUCUUAACCCCCCCUGUGCCGAAGCUAACGCAUUAAGCACUCCGCCUGGGGAGUACGGUCGCAAGGCUG
rnacentral:rRNA from 1 species